rnacentral:lncRNA from 1 species
AUGUGUUCUCUGUCAUCUCGGCAGCUUGCACGUCUGCGGUGCGAAGACACAGAUGGGAAAACCUGGCAAGCAGAGGAGGCAGGAGCUUCGCUCCAGAGCGGCCUCCUCCGACACUCGCCUUCUGGUCACCCAACCGAGCCCACAGCGCGACAACCCUCCCCCGCCGGCAGCGGGCCUGGCAACCCAAGGCACCCAGGGCUGCACUUGCCACGAUUACAAGGGAACAGCAGCACACACAGGCCCCUACUCCGCAGCCGCCCGCCGCGGGGGCAGCACCCGGCCCCGAUUCCGCCCAGCAGCCCCGGCGACACCCGCUCUCCUCAGCUCCCCUGGGACUCGCCCACCGGGGAGGCCCGCACACCCGGCCUCAGCACCGGGGAGUGGCGGGAGGGCUGGGGCGGCGCCAAUCGGGGCCUCGNNNNNNNNNNCCCCGGCGCCGCUGCCGCCAGUCGGUUCCGGAGUGAACAGCCGCCGGUUGGGGGAAGGGCCCGCGGCUCGGCGGGAGGCUGGGCCUACUCCUUUCCACGGCGCCAGCGAGGGCCGGCGGUGGGGAGGAAGGGGAAGGGCGGCGCGACCCGCGGUCCCAGCCGGUUACCUGCGCGGCGCAGCGCCCGCCUGCGUCGCCUCCCCCGGCGGCGGCGGCGGCGGAGCGAGGACGCGAGCGCACCGGAAACAGACACGGCGCGCGGGGGGGGAGGUGGAUGCCGCGCGGCGGGCUCACCUGCGCCCCCGCCGCCCCCCGCCUCCUCAGCGCCGCCGCCGCCGGCACCAACUCCCGCAGCCGGCAGAGAGGGGGGGAGGCGCGGGGGGGGCUCAGCGGUGGCGGCGGCCGUCCUCCCCGCUGCGGGCCCUCACGGUGUCUCGGGUAAACCGGCCGGGCGGCGACUGGGCCUCGGCGCCGUGAGAGGCCCCUCUGCGGCCGUGUGUGUGUUUUUGUGUGUGUGUGUGUGCGUGUCCGUCCCCCCCCUGCGCCCUCGUGGUCUCGCCCGCUGCUGGCCCGCCGGCGGGGGAGGGAGGAGCAGCCCGGGAUGGCGGCGGGGACAAAUCGCGGGUCGGGUUCGGCGUCGCGCUGGGGACGUGGCUGCGUCCCCCCCUCAGGGUCGAGGAGCAUAA